rfam:Aedes aegypti strain Liverpool supercont1.213 genomic scaffold, whole genome shotgun sequence.
CCUCUCGUGGUGUAGGGGUAACGUGCCCUAUCUAAUAAACAGGGGGUUGUGAGUUCGAUUCUCACCAAGAAGA